GAAAAAGACACCACGACCAGACAGCGUGAACACAAGAUGAGCGUGCUUCAAGCAACAGGUAGUCAUUGGAGGACAGAGAGGAUGCAACGUCGACUAAAGAGAAGCUAAACACAUAUCACUUCCAUUAACACUGGCAUGCUGAGCUCUAAUUACUCACUCACUCAGCGUUCUGGGCUGCCCGCCGCU